GGGCGAGUGGCGGAAUGGCAGACGCGGCGGCCUUAAAAGCCGCAGCCCUUCAGGGCAUCUGUGGGUUCGACUCCCACCUCGCUCAC
rnacentral:tRNA from 1 species